AAAUUAUGAUGAGGGCAUCUGAGAAGAAGUUCAUUGAAGUGCUCCUAUGCCUCAAAAAAAGGUCUCUGUCUUUUUGUUGGAAAGUCAGAAUUUCCCUUCUCAAUUG